UACGGGGGGGGCGAGCGUUGUUCGGAAUCAUUGGGCGUAAAGGGUGCGUAGGUGGUGCUGUAAGUCUGACGUGAAAUCUCUGGGCUUAACCCAGAAUCCGCGCCAGGAACUGCAGUGCUCGAGUGUGGGAGAGGAGAGUGGAAUUCCCGGUGUAGCGGUGAAAUGCGUAGAUAUCAAGAGGAACACCUGCGGCGAAGGUGGGUUGCUGGGCUGACACUGACGCUGAAGUGCGAAAGCCAGGGGAGCGAACGGG
rnacentral:rRNA from 1 species